AAGUCGUAACAAGGUUUCCGUAGGUGAACCUGCGGAAGGAUCAUUACAAAAACAAAAUCCAAACCACACCACUGUGCUCUUUAUUGUGAGAAAAAUGUCUUUGUGUGUGUGUGUUGUUGUUUGUUUGUUGGAAGAGGGGGAUGAAAAUCCUUCUCUUCUUCACACACACACACACACACACACACACACACAAGCUUUUCCUCACAAGUCUUUGUUUUCAAUUUUUCAUUACUCCUUGUUUAACCAACAACGGAUUACAAUGUUAAAACUUGAAACAAAACAAACAAAACAAAAUGACAACUUUUAACGGUGGAUCUCUUGGCUCGU
rnacentral:misc_RNA from 1 species